UUCGGAUAAAAGAGUCCGUUACCCUUCGGGGAAUCUUAAGUCUUUCUUCCAAGAAAGUAGGGCAAGCUAUGCUCUUGGGAUGUGAGAUCCAGUGCCGGUUGGGAGAAGCCGUUACCCUUCGGGGAAUCUUCAAAAAACACACAACCUGGGGAGGGUUUGGCAAGCUGCUGACGCCGUAGCAUUUGCGUUGGAUCAGGUCAGAUCCUUAAACUGACGAUUGAGUCAGCCGUGUUAUCCCAAGAACCCUGCUCA
rnacentral:rRNA from 1 species